UGUGUGUGUGUGUGUGUGUUAUUUCACAACUUACUCGUUCCUUGGACAUGUCCCUGCCUGAAAUAUUUUAUCCAAAGACACAACGACUUCACCGAGGAACACGUCGAGUCCGAUGAGCACCCGGAGCAUGACGGUGAGGAUCAAAUCCCCGCUGCCGGGCGGAUGCGCCCCCAUACACUCCAGCAGGCCGGGCUGCAGCUCCAGGGAACACUCCUCAUUCCACUCCGGCUCGGCCGCUUUCUCUGCCAGACCCGUCGUGUACUUCAGCUUCCCCAGCUGGAUAACGGUGUACACAUAGCGGCUGCCCUGCUUGCCCUUGGUUCGCAGCGCCCUGGCACGAAGGACGGUCACGUUGACGUGGGUCGGGACCCAUCUCUGAUCCUCAUCGUCCAGGCUGAUCAGAGGCAUGGCCCAAAAACUAGCAGAUGUCCUGAAACCACUAAUGCACUAUCCCGCAGUUAUGCGUGUCUGUAAAAUCUCCGCAUUCUCCUCCUCCAGACAGACAGACAGACAGACAGACAGAGUCGCAGAGCAGCGCGUCAAGAGAAAGCGACAGAAACCUCAAACACCGCCGACGCUCAUAAAAGCAACAACAAAUAACAAUUUAACAGCAGAGUCGCUACUUUUUUGCAUCAACCGAACAGAUUGCUGUGUUUUGACAGCAGCUCAAUCCGGCCCCGCCCUCCUUUCUCUCUCUCUCUCUCUCUCUCUCACAGUAGGCCUGUUGUGCAGCAGUACUCGAAAUUUAAAGAGAAAGCCAGCACAUUGUUGUUUCUCAGGGCUCAGUCUAUCUAAUAUCUACAGUGGCAUGCAAAAGUUUGGGCACCCUUACUGAAAAUGUCUGUUACUGUGAAUAGUUAAGUGAGCAGAAGAUGAACUGAUCACCGAAAGGCAUAAAGUCUGUCCCUCUGAGUUACAUGUCGGUCCUGGGAUUGAGAUGCUGACCUCUUCUGCUCCUCGGACCUGCCUGAUCCAUCCAUGGUGCCCUGUGUCUGGUUGGAGUCUCAUCGCAUUGCUCCUGCGGAGGACGGCCCCAUGUAGACAGUGGGGGGUCGUGCCUGGAGGACGCUCUGGACUCUUGCAGUGGUGCUUUUGUGGCUGGGGACUGCAGUUGACUUUGGGACUGUGGUUGUCAUGAACAGUUUUGCGCUCAGGUUUCCAUCAGUGGGGAGCUGUGGCAGACUGUUUCCAUCCUUUUUUUAGCCAAUUUGAGCUUCUGAAGUCUGGGAGGUGCUAUAGGGCUCCUCUGGCUAAAAGUGUAUUGAAAAUUUUAUUCCAAAUGCCAUUAGCAUUCUUAACUCAGUGAGUGAUCCACAGACACUGAUAAUUGCUAUUUGUCUUUUUAUGCCUCCGCCACCUCAAGGUGCAGGAGGCAUUAUGUUUUCGGGUUGUCCGUCUGUCUGUCCGUCCGUGCGUGCGUCCGUCUGUCCCAAAACCUUGUGAACACGAUAUCUCAAAGGCUAAUGAAAGGAAUUUCACCAAACUUUCACCAUUUGUGCGCUUUGGGACAAACAUGAACUGAUUAGAUUUUGAGGUUAAAAGGUCACAGGUCAAGAUUACUGUGAGGUCAAAUGUCCAUCCCCAAAUCACAACUUAAUAAGGUGUGUAGUCUACCAGGCGGAGGCAUCCCCAUCGACGCCGUUGACGUCGAGUUCUAUCUAGUUUAUUUUAUUUUGCACAACCCUCUGUGUUUGUUGUCUGUGUUGCUGUUUGUAAAGUUUUGUUGAAAUGUGUGGUGUUUGCAUGUUAUGUGAUGGUGAGCUAAAGAUAAUUUUCCUCCUUGGUGGACAAUAAAGAUUUAUUCUAUUUUA